rnacentral:rRNA from 1 species
AACGAACGCUGGCGGCAGGCUUAACACAUGCAAGUCGAACGGUUCCUUCGGGGACAGUGGCAGACGGGUGAGUAACGCGUGGGAAUCUACCCAGUCCUACGGGAUAGCUCCGGGAAACUGGAAUUAAUACCGUAUACGCCCUUUUGGGGAAAGAUUUAUCGGGAUUGGAUGAGCCCGCGUAAGAUUAGCUAGUUGGUGGGGUAAUGGCCCACCAAGGCGACGAUCUUUAGCUGGUCUGAGCGGAUGAUCAGCCACACUGGGACUGAGACACGGCCCAGACUCCUACGGGAGGCAGCAGUGGGGAAUAUUGGACAAUGGGAGCAAGCCUGAUCCAGCCAUGCCGCGUGAGUGAUGAAGGCCUUAGGGUUGUAAAGCUCUCUCACCGGAGAAGAUAAUGACGGUAUCCGGAGAAGAAGCCCCGGCUAACUUCGUGCCAGCCGCCGCGGUAA